rfam:[Clostridium] stercorarium subsp. stercorarium DSM 8532 chromosome, complete genome.
UCGUGCUAGACGGGGAGGUAGCGGUGCCCUGUACCUGCAACCCGCUAUAGCAGGGUCGAAUUCCUGCCCGAGGCAUAUAGCUGUGAAGACAGGGCCAUGAUUAAAGAGCAAUGAAGAUUGGGUCUUGCGCAAUUCAGGGCUGUGAACCCCGUCAGGUCCGGAAGGAAGCAGCGGUAAGCAGUUUACUGGAUGUGCCGCAAGGGUGCCUGAUCCGAGCUUUUUAUCGUGGUGCCGUUUGUAGUUGUAUGUCGACGGCAGGUGCACGA